rnacentral:rRNA from 1 species
UUCCUAGCGAGCCCAACCUCCCACCCGUGUUUACUGUACCUUAGUUGCUUCGGCGGGCCCGCCAUUCAUGGCCGCCGGGGGCUCUCAGCCCCGGGCCCGCGCCCGCCGGAGACACCACGAACUCUGUCUGAUCUAGUGAAGUCUGAGUUGAUUGUAUCGCAAUCAGUUAAAACUUUCAACAAUGGAUCUCUUGGUUCCGGCAUCGAUGAAGAACGCAGCGAAAUGCGAUAACUAGUGUGAAUUGCAGAAUUCCGUGAAUCAUCGAGUCUUUGAACGCACAUUGCGCCCCCUGGUAUUCCGGGGGGCAUGCCUGUCCGAGCGUCAUUGCUGCCCAUCAAGCACGGCUUGUGUGUUGGGUCGUCGUCCCCUCUCCGGGGGGGACGGGCCCCAAAGGCAGCGGCGGCACCGCGUCCGAUCCUCGAGCGUAUGGGGCUUUGUCACCCGCUCUGUAGGCCCGGCCGGCGCUUGCCGAACGCAAAUCAAUCUUUUUCCAGGUGACCUCGCAUCAGGAGGGAUACCCGCUGAACUUAAGCAUAUCAA